AACUCCUGAGCUCAAGGGAUCCACCCACCCGCCUUGACCUCCCAAAGUGCUGGGAUUACAGGCAUGAGCCACCGAACCUGACCUCUAGUUUUUCAAGAUGCCACCUUUAGGGGAACUGGGUAAAGGGUACAUAGGGUAUGCAUUAUGUGUUACUGCAUGUGAAUUUAUAAUUACCUCAAAUCAAAGGUUAAAUUUUAAAAUAAAAUGACAUCCGAUUUCAAUAAAAAUCUAUAUUUGUGUAUUGAAGACCCAGAAAUCCGGGCCCCCAAGGGCCCAUGUUUCUUAAGGUGGAGCCAGGCACCGCUGCCCCUUCAUCCAGGGCCUGUGCUGUGCGACCCGACUCGCCGGCCCCCAGCCCCAUCUAAUAGUGCUGCCGUCCUGAGUCCGUCCUCGUCGUGGGAUACCAUGUGAGCCCCGGAAGGUCCUUCCUGUCGGCCUCGCUGCUCCAGCCUCCCCGACGUACUCACAUCCACGCCGCGCGCCCUUUCUGAACCUGAACGCCUCCUCCUCACCACGACAUGAUCAGAGCCACCUCCCGCGUCAGUCCCAGCGCCCACGCCCCCAACAACGGGCACUCGUCUGACCGGUCACUGGUAUUUGUCUCCCCACCAACCCCCAAGGCCUAGAGUGGACAAAUACGGGGUGGAAAAACGGGAAGAGGCUGCGGCCGGGUGGCGCGAGGCCUGUGCGGGCAGCUCCGCAGUCUCGGAGGCGAGGCCUAGCCUGGUGAGCUCCGGAACUACGAGGCGCGGGUGGGGGUUGAUGAACGAAUAAAUGAAUGUGGGAAGAAAUGAUGGCGCGGCAGGACAUGAAGGCGGAGCCACAAGGCUGGAGGAGUGAUGAGUGAAUGAGUCAAAGAAUAAACGAGCAGGAGGAACGAUGCUACAGAACUGAAUGCUAUAAGGCUCGCGUUCACCGAGCAAGCGGCGGACAGGAGCCGUUUCCGCCCCGACCACGGUCGCCUCUGGCCUGUGCAGAGCUACUUCCGGGCCGCUCUGGAGGGCGCGGAGGCCUAUCUCUGUGGUCCCAGAGGGCGCUGCUCAGGGCCGAGCCCCGCCCUGCCCCGCGCGGCGAGAGUGGGUGGAGCCGGAGGACAGAUCUGUGCUUGGCCGGAGGGUGUCCGUCGGCGUCACUCACCGUCCUCAGCCCGCCCCUGCGUCCACUACGCGCUGCCUGAGAGGGGCCUGCACGGAGGCACGGGGAAUGCACCUAGAGCUGCAUUCGAUGUAUUCCUUGGCUUUUGGUCCUUUCCUCCAUCAUUAAAUAACUGGUAACGUCUUAA